rnacentral:rRNA from 1 species
UAUUGGUCAAUGGACGCAAGUCUGAACCAGCCAUGCCGCGUGCAGGAAGACGGCCCUACUGGUUGUAAACUGCUUUUGUACCGGAAUAAACCUUUUCACGUGUGAGUAGCUGAAUGUACGGUAAGAAUAAGGAUCGGCUAACUCCGUGCCAGCAGCCGCGGUAAUACGGAGGAUCCAAGCGUUAUCCGGAUUUAUUGGGUUUAAAGGGUGCGUAGGUGGCCUGGUAAGUCAGGGGUGAAAGACGGCAGCUUAACUGUCGCAGUGCCUUUGAUACUGCCGGGCUUGAAUACAGUUGAAGUGGGCGGAAUGUGACAAGUAGUGGUGAAAUGCAUAGAUAUGUCACAGAACACCGAUCGCGAAGGCAGCUCACUAAGGUGUGAUUGACACUGAGGCACGAAAGCGUGAGGAUCAAACAG